rnacentral:rRNA from 1 species
UAGGGAAUCUUCGGCAAUGGACGAAAGUCUGACCGAGCAACGCCGCGUGAGUGAAGAAGGUUUUCGGAUCGUAAAACUCUGUUGUUAGAGAAGAACAAGGACGUUAGUAACUGAACGUCCCCUGACGGUAUCUAACCAGAAAGCCACGGCUAACUACGUGCCAGCAGCCGCGGUAAUACGUAGGUGGCAAGCGUUGUCCGGAUUUAUUGGGCGUAAAGCGAGCGCAGGCGGUUUCUUAAGUCUGAUGUGAAAGCCCCCGGCUCAACCGGGGAGGGUCAUUGGAAACUGAUAGACUUGAGUGCAGAAGAGGCGCGUGGAAUUCCAUUUGUCGCGGUUCAAUGCGUAGCUAUAUGGCGGAACACCAGUGGCGAAGGCUGCUCUCUGUUCUGUAACUGACGCUUAGGCUCGAAAGCGUGGGGAGCAAACAGG